GAUGAAGAACGCAGCGAAAUGCGAUAAGUAAUGUGAAUUGCAGAAUUCAGUGAAUCAUCGAAUCUUUGAACGCACAUUGCGCCCCCUGGUAUUCCGGGGGGCAUGCCUGUUCGAGCGUCAUUUCACCACUCAAGCCUCGCUUGGUAUUGGGCAACGCGGUCCGCCGCGUGCCUCAAAUCGACCGGCUGGGUCUUCUGUCCCCUAAGCGUUGUGGAAACUAUUCGCUAAAGGGUGUUCGGGAGGCUACGCCGUAAAACAACCCCAUUUCUAAGGUUGACCUCGGAUCAGGUAGGGAUACCCGCUGAACUUAAGCAUAUCAAUAAGCGGAUGA
rnacentral:misc_RNA from 1 species